rnacentral:rRNA from 1 species
CAGCCGCCGCGGUAAUACGUAGGGUGCAAGCGUUAAUCGGAAUUACUGGGCGUAAAGCGUGCGCAGGCGGUUCGGAAAGAAAGAUGUGAAAUCCCAGAGCUUAACUUUGGAACUGCAUUUUUAACUACCGGGCUAGAGUGUGUCAGAGGGAGGUGGAAUUCCGCGUGUAGCAGUGAAAUGCGUAGAUAUGCGGAGGAACACCGAUGGCGAAGGCAGCCUCCUGGGAUAACACUGACGCUCAUGCACGAAAGCGUGGGGAGCAAACAGGAUUAGAUACCCUGGUAGUCCACGCCCUAAACGAUGUCAACUAGCUGUUGGGGCCUUCGGGCCUUGGUAGCGCAUCUAACGCGUGAAGUUGACCGCCUGGGGAGUACGGCCGCAAGGCUGAAACUUAAAGGAAUUGGCGGG